rnacentral:pre_miRNA from 1 species
AGUGGGAUAGCUGGGUCAAAUGGUGGUUCUAUUCCAAAUUUUCUGAGAAAUCUCCAUACUGUUUUCCAGAGUAGUUACACCAAUUUGCAGUUCCACCAGCAAU